CUUAGUGGCGGACGGGUGAGUAACACGUAGGUAACCUACCUUUAAGCGGGGGACAACUCAGGGAAACUUGAGCUAAUACCCCAUAAGACCCCGGGCUGGGAGGCCUGAGGUAAAAGGAGCGAUUCACUUAAGGAUGGACCUGCGGCCUAUCAGGUAGUUGGUGGGGUAACGGCCUACCAAGCCAAAGACGGGUAGCCGGGCUGAGAGGUCGAACGGCCACACUGGAACUGAGACACGGUCCAGACUCCUACGGGAGGCAGCAGUGGGAAAUCUUGCGCAAUGGGGGAAACCCUGACGCAGCGACGCCGCGUGGAGGAUGAAGGUCUUCGGGUUGUAAACUCCUUUUCUUGGGGAAAAUAAUGAUGGUACCCAAGGAAUAAGCCACGGCUAACUCUGUGCCAGCAGCCGCGGUAAGACAGAGGUGGCGAGCGUUGUUCGGAAUUACUGGGCUUAAAGGGCGAGUAGGCGGUGGAGCAAGUCUGAUGUGGAAUCUUAGGGCUUAACCCUAAAACUGCCUUAGAAACUGUUUCACUUGAGUCAGUGAGGGGAGGGCGGAAUUCCUGGUGUAGCGGUGAAAUGCGUAGAUAUCAGGAGGAAGGCCUGUGGCGAAGGCGGCCCUCUGGCACUGCACUGACGCUGAGGCGCGAAAGCGUGGGGAGCAAACAGGAUUAGAUACCCUGGUAGUCCACGCCCUAAAC
rnacentral:rRNA from 1 species